CUUGGAGAUCCCUGUCUACCUGAGGCCUUCUGAAGGAAGGCCUCUGUCAGCUAGGUGAACUUAGCAACUAUCAAAAAGAUGAAGUAGUGGAAGUUGAAGGUUUUUUCUGCUCGCUGUGGGCUUCACGUGUGUGCUAGGGAGAGAGAGAAGGUGGUGGGAUGAGAUGAUCUUGGAACCAUUCGAAGUGCAUCCUGCAGCACUGCAAUAGCUCCUGCCCCCUCUUCUCAUACAACCUCUGACAUCUUAAACUCCUGUGCAGCGUUUUCUGCUUGUACAAGAAACAUAUACAGUUUUGAUGCAGCGUUAGAGUGCAAUUAAUGUUGUCUCUGGAUAGAAAAAUUUGGCAUAGACUCAAUCCUUUGAUUGAUCUUUGGUCUGGGACUAUAAUGCAGCAUUUUUAACUUAUGUAUAGGAGGUCUGAUGUAAGUGUACACUGCUUGCUUUGUUCUUUUGGUGCUCGGGGAACGGGUUUUAUAAUAAAAAGCAAAUAAAAGCAAAAUGUGUUUGCCCA